AAAAUAUGUUAAGUACAAGUUUAUAAUAAGUUGCAAGAUGCCAAAGACUGUCAGGGCAACAGCAAAGUGGCUUAAGGCAGUCUGGAGCCCACUCUGCCUCACAGGAUGCAAGCUGGCUGCAAAGAAUUUCCCUCUCUGACUCUCUAUAUCAGGAAGAGGGCUUCUGGGUGCUCCUGAUAAAUGCCCUUGAGACUGUCAUGGCCAUCCUGGGGGCUCCUCCUUUACACUGCGC